rnacentral:lncRNA from 1 species
ACUUGCAAAAAAAAAACAAUUUAAUAAUAAUAAAGACAUGAGAGUUAAAUAUUUAGCAGAAGAUGUUUUAUUGAUAAUAUAGUUAUUAAAAGGGGGAGUAUUACAGUACACACUCUUCAACUCAACUCAUGUAACGACAACAUACUUGAGCACCACACUGGAAUUAUCAUAAACCAAGCCAAAUUAAGGCAUGCACACUCAUUUAUCCGGCCGGAUCAAGAAAACAAAACAAACUUUAUGGCAUAAGCCAUGCACACACUAUGGGAUGCGAUUUUACUUAAUUAGCAAGGAGGUAAGCCUCAACGGCCUUGAAUAUGAGCCCUGCCUUCUCGGUGGCAUCCUUAAUGUUCUCUUCUGGGAUCACGGCGUCGCCUAUGGUGUUGUAAAUGGUGGUGUUCUUAACAAUGGACCCUCCAUCCGGAGUAGGCACAAUAGUGAAAUGAUUAACGAUGGAUUCGAUUAUGUCCAACAGGAUAUCGCCUCCGAUGAUGGAGUAAGUGUAGGUCAACGCGUCCUUGUCAAUUGCAUCUACCCGUUGCUUCAUGGUGUUGAAUUGGCUGGCUGUAGAAUCAGACAUUCNNNNNNNNNNNNNNNNNNNNNNNNNNNNNNNNNNNNNNNNNNNNNNNNNNNNNNNNNNNNNNNNNNNNNNNNNNNNNNNNNNNNNNNNNNNNNNNNNNNNUAUUACAUACAUAUAUACUAUUUCAUUAAUUAACACCAAUUUAUAUAUAAGAGAGUAGGUACUGACUGAUAUAUUCACAGUUAACAUCCAUUAUUAUUAUUGUUUCAAUUCAGACGGUCUUCUCGAUCUUCCAUUUUAAAUAGAAUAGUACUGGUCAUUUCAUCUUCUUGAUCACUAGAAUGCAUAUAUGAUAGGCAAAUUAAAUGUGGUAAAUUAAUUAAGUACCUUCGCCGAGAGUGACGAGCUUGACGGUUCCAACACCACCAUCACCCUCAAUAAUUUCACUACUCUUGAUAGCUUGAGGAAAAGCCUUGGGGAGAAUGUCGUCAAUGUCAAGCAGAAGUCCCGCGUACAAUUUCUGUGCUGGGACAGUGGAAGUAGCCUCAACUUCGGUCUUUUGGACACCCAUGGAUAUAUGUUUUAGUUUGGAGAUUGAACUAGAGUGUAUAUAUAUAAAACACAAUUAAGAAGAUGAAGAGUACUAGUAUAGUAAGGUUUUGGUGUGAGGAAAUGAGAGAACUAGAGCUCCUAUUUAUACUACUACUACAUGGGACUACUGUGGGAGCGAGGUCUUAAUAAAUCGUACUAGUAGUAGUAAUUAGCUAUAUAGGUGUGAAGACGUACUAGAAAACUGCCAACCAGAUGAUAAUCUGGAGUCAAUAAUAAUUUUAAUGUUUGCCUAUCAAAGUUGAACAGAUCAAAGUCUUGGUUAAGUAGGUAGAUCAGGCUUUCAGCGUUAAUGGGAAGGUGUGCCUGCCCAUACCUAUUCCUAUUCCCUAGUAUUCCCUAUCAUCAUAUCGAUCAGAUAAAUGUAGUAACUUUCUUUAAAAAAUGAUCAAAAGGAAGAUUUUUAUUUUAACUUUCUAACUGCUAAAGCAUUUGUAGAAUGAUCAUUAUCAUUAAACCAUUUCUAAAAAAAUUAUAAUUAAUUUUACAUGGCAAAUUGUUCAUUUUUGUCGGGAUCAAUACAUUUUAACAUAUCAUCAUUUACAGCUAGCUAGCUAGCAGCAUAUCAGAUAAAUUUUUUAGUAAAAUAUUGAUAGCAUGCAUUAAUAAUUGAGAGUUUCUGUCCUACUCGCUCAUUUGGAAAUGGGACGCGCGGGACGUUAGAAAAUGGAGUUGAAAGAGACUUAAAUUUAAUUCCAUGUAGAUGAUCGAUCGAUCUGAUCUGGUAAGUGGUAAACUUACUUCACUAGAAGGGAAUAGCCGCCCUUCUUGACACGAAGAAAGAUAGUAGUAAUGUUUGGUGGGGCCACCUUCUAGAGUAGACAGGUCGAUUGGGAGUCACAGGACAUGACAUGAUGCAAACCAAAAUUUAAAUUAAUUACUACUAUUAUUAACAAUAUUUCGAUCCGCAGAGAUUUGGCCAAUGCAUCAAGUCAUGUGCAUGGUUCAAUUCAAUAAUCGAUUUGUUUAUUAGAGAUCUAGAUCUACCUUUUUCAUCUUUUGGCUACUAGUGACCAAGUCACUAUUAACUUUCGCAAUGAAUAUAUAUAUGAGACUAAUAUUGAUAAUGUUAUCGAUUUAACAUUAUUUUUACAGCAGGUUGUGAAUGUUUAUUUUAAGAUCGAACAGUUUAAUAGAGUUCUGGGACAAAUGAUCAAAAUAUCAUUUUUUAUAAAAGUUUUCGUCCACAAUAUUAAACUGCGGACGUUAUGUAUGACCAAAUGGUGAACUAAAAACGACACCGUUUGUAAAUAAGUCUCGUUCGCACUAUUAAACUGAGGAUGCCAUUUUUUAUUUUUUUAGUUUUCAAGGUUCGAUCAAUUCCUAAGAUUGCAAUCAUUGGUGUUUGUCUGGAAUAACGGAUACUAGGAAUGUAUUGUUAUAUGCUUCUCUGUUGAAGAUUGGAAAAAGAUCGUGGACCCGAAAAGAAAUUUCAAGAGAUUGCAUAUUUGCAUUCAACAUGCUGACACAUGUUUUCACAAAGGGUGAUGGUUUAAGUUGACCUCGAUGACGGAUAUAUCAUUAAUAUGAGACUGUAAAAUUCCAAAAGGUAUCAUUGACAUUCAACAUGAUCGGAGCCUUGAAAAUUAAAAAAAAAUUGAAUUUGAUAUUCAUAGUUAAAUACUGCAAACACCCUUAUUAGUUGGUCAUUUGACCAUACCUAGCGUCAACAGUAUUAAAUUGCAGACGAGAGACUUGUAAAGGAAAGAUAUUUUGGUCUUUUGUUCUGUCCGCAGUAUUAAACUACGAAAUACUGAAAACUAAACUACGGACGAACACUUUAUUUAACCGUUCGAUUUUCAGAUGGAGGGUCACAAUGUGUUGUAAGGGUAACCUUAACCCGUAAGUAACCUUAAGUUUAUCAUAAAUAUGUAUAUUCCAUCGAUAUUUUGCUGACCAUAUAUGUAAUUAAUAACAAAGGGAAAAAAAUACACUUCCAUCCAAAAAAAAAAUAGAAGAAAGAAAGUCAGUUUAGAAGGAUUGCAUCAAAAUUGAUUUUGUUGGCACUAUUUUUAUGAGAAGGAUAUUGUAUCUUCUGUUGAAUUUCUGAAUGAUAUAUUUGCUUAAGGAUUUAGCUCUAUAUACAAUUUUCUUUGUUUCGACUCAAAUUUUAAGUGUGUUAUAGACAAAUAAUAUUUGAAAACCUUGACAUACCUUUUUUUUUUUUUUGGAAAGAUCAAAUCUCAGUCUCAAUGCCAAAUGGAGGUUUUUUUUCUUCAUGUUGAAAUAGGAGGAGAUCAAGAAAAAAUUGUUAUUCUGUGCUCUGUACCGUAGCAAAUAGCAAGGUUCGUAGAACGUCAAAUUUAUUUAUGCAGCCUUAAAAAAGAAAAAAAAAACAAUAAACAUCAAUAACAUUAUAGCUGAAUUCCUCGUAUCAUUUGGUUCACUUCUUCUGGAAUGACAAUGCCGACUACAUGAUGGGAUGGCCCCACUAUAUUAAUUUGGGUCCAAUAUUCCUAUAUAUUCACUAUCACUAUCUCUUCUUAAUUAUUGGUUCUGUAUCGUUUUUGUUUUGCUACAUAUUUUUUUUGUAUGAUCAACAACUUUUACUCUAUUUUCUUAUAUACUUUCUCCUUUAUCCGUUACUUAAUAUAAAUCGUUUUAGAAUUGUGCACAAGUAUUAAAAAAUAAUUGUAAAAUAUUAAAUAUAAUAUUAAUUGUCUAUUAUAUUGAAAAAAUAUAGUGUUAUUUAUUAGAUAAAAAACACCGAAAGAACCAAAGUUAUAUUAAUUAAUAUUUGGUGUAAUAUUAAAAACUAAGCAAUUAAUGCUUACUUAAAAUUCUCAAACUAUAUCAAGAAACAAAAAUAUUUCUCUAAAAUGACUUAUAUUAAAGAACCCGGAGUAUAUUCUACCUUUUUGGUAAGAAAAAAUAUUGGAGCUUUUCACAUUUGCAGAGAGGGUCACAUUUGCAGAGAGGGUGUUGAUGAUGAUACACUGAAUGUCCUGGAGUAAAAUUAGUUUAAAGUUUUAAGAGUUGAAUUUUUAUUAUUGCUCAAGUAACAUUUUCUUUUCCAAAGGGCUGAAUAUGCCCUUUCUCAAAUCUUUAUUAAUUUCGAGUGAUCAUCAUAUAUCUCAUGAAGCAAUACUUUUUCUAAAAGAAGCUUAGAAAGAAGCGAUUAAUUUUAAAAUAAAUAGAAAAUUAUAGUAUUUUUCGGGAUGUUACAUUUAGUAUUAACUAAUAGUUGACGCACCAAGAUUGAAUAAAAUCAUUGCAAUUAACAGAUGCCUUUUUAUUGAUAUAGUUAUAUAUCAAAGGAGACUGCAACACAUAACUCGUAAUAAUAACAACAAAUUAACUUGAACCAUAUAUAUAUAUAUAUAUAUAUAUAUAUAUAUAUAUAUAUAUAUAUAUAUUGGUACUGGAGAGGCAACACAAUAUAUCAUGUUCUUCAGCCGAAAGAAAAGCAUAUAAAUUAAUUAAGCCUCAUUCAUAUGUAGAAUAUGGAAUGAGUUAAUUAACUUAGUAGGCACCAGGAUUUGCAAGGAGGUAGGUCUCAACAGCCUUGAAUAUGAGUCCAGACUUCUCAGUAGCUUCCUUAAUAUUCUCUUCUGGGAUCACGUCGUCGCCUAUGGGGUUAUAUAUGGUUGUAUUUUUGACAAUGCACCCUUCUUCAGUAGGCACCACCGUGAAUUGAUUAGUGAUGGACUCGAGUUUUCCCAACAAAAUAUCACCAUCGAUAAUGGUGUAGCUGUAGGUCAAUGCAUCCUUGUCGAUUCCAUCAACCCUUUGUUUCAAGCUGUUGAAUUGGCUCA